rnacentral:rRNA from 1 species
UACAGAGGGGGCAAGCGUUGUUCGGAAUUACUGGGCGUAAAGGGCGCGUAGGCGGCCUUCUAAGUCGAACGUGAAAUCCCUGGGCUCAACCCAGGAACUGCGUCCGAUACUGGAAGGCUUGAAUCCGGGAGAGGGAUGCGGAAUUCCAGGUGUAGCGGUGAAAUGCGUAGAUAUCUGGAGGAACACCGGUGGCGAAGGCGGCGUUCUGGACUGCAACUGACACUGAGAAACGAAAGCCAGGGUAGCAAACGGG